rnacentral:rRNA from 1 species
GACGAACGCUGGCGGCGUGCCUAAUACAUGCCGGUCGAGCGAGCUUGCCUAGAUGAAUUUGGUGCUUGCACCAAAUGAAACUAGAUACAAGCGAGCGGCGGACGGGUGAGUAACACGUGGGUAACCUGCCCAAGAGACUGGGAUAACACCUGGAAACAGAUGCUAAUACCGGAUAACAACACUAGACGCAUGUCUAGAGUUUAAAAGAUGGUUCUGCUAUCACUCUUGGAUGGACCUGCGGUGCAUUAGCUAGUUGGUAAGGUAACGGCUUACCAAGGCAAUGAUGCAUAGCCGAGUUGAGAGACUGAUCGGCCACAUUGGGACUGAGACACGGCCCAAACUCCUACGGGAGGCAGCAGUAGGGAAUCUUCCACAAUGGACGCAAGUCUGAUGGAGCAACGCCGCGUGAGUGAAGAAGGGUUUCGGCUCGUAAAGCUCUGUUGGUAGUGAAGAAAGAUAGAGGUAGUAACUGGCCUUUAUUUGACGGUAAUUACUUAGAAAGUCACGGCUAACUACGUGCCAGCAGCCGCGGUAAUACGUAGGUGGCAAGCGUUGUCCGGAUUUAUUGGGCGUAAAGCGAGUGCAGGCGGUUCAAUAAGUCUGAUGUGAAAGCCUUCGGCUCAACCGGAGAAUUGCAUCAGAAACUGUUGAACUUGAGUGCAGAAGAGGAGAGUGGAACUCCAUGUGUAGCGGUGGAAUGCGUAGAUAUAUGGAAGAACACCAGUGGCGAAGGCGGCUCUCUGGUCUGCAAC